AGAACUCUCCAAAUGCAAAUGAGAAUAAGAUGGAAUACUCAAAUUCAUUACAGGAGAAGGAAAACAAGAAGACAGGAAAACCUGGAAAGCAGACAAAGCAAGCAAAGGUAGAGACUGGAUCAAAGAAAAUAAGAGAUAUGUUUUCAAGGGCUUGUAAGAAAAAACGCUGAAAUGUGUGAAACUAUACAACUAUUAAUGAUUGUUUCUUUUUCAAGCUAUCAGAUGAUAUUUGCUUAGCUAGCAACACGUGAACAAAGAAUCUGCUUAUUUAUGUAAGAAUGGGUGAGUUUGGUUA